rnacentral:rRNA from 1 species
UACGUAGGGGGCGAGCGUUGUCCGGAUUUAUUGGGCGUAAAGAGCGUGUAGGCGGCUAGGUAGGUCCGUUGUGAAAACUCGAGGCUCAACCUCGAGCUGUCGAUGGAAACCAUCUAGCUAGAGUCCGGAAGAGGAGAGUGGAAUUCCUGGUGUAGCGGUGAAAUGCGCAGAUAUCAGGAAGAACACCCGUGGCGAAGGCGGCUCUCUGGUACGUGACUGACGCUGAGACGCGAAAGCGUGGGGAGCGAACAGG